GAUGAACGCUGGCGGCAUGCCUAAUACAUGCAAGUCGAACGAGAGGAAGGAAAGCUUGCUUUUCUGAAUCUAGUGGCGAACGGGUGAGUAACACGUAAGUAACCUGCCCAUGUGCCCGGGAUAACUUCUGGAAACGGAUGCUAAAACCGGAUAGGUAGCAGACAAGCAUUUGACUGCUAUUAAAGUGGCUAAGGCCAUGAACAUGGAUGGACCUGCGGUGCAUUAGCUAGUUGGUGAGGUAACGGCCCACCAAGGCGACGAUGCAUAGCCGGCCUGAGAGGGCGGACGGCCACAUUGGGACUGAGACACGGCCCAAACUCCUACGGGAGGCAGCAGUAGGGAAUUUUCGUCAAUGGGGGGAACCCUGAACGAGCAAUGCCGCGUGAGUGAGGAAGGUCUUCGGAUCGUAAAGCUCUGUUGUAAGAGAAAAACGACAUUCAUAGGGAAUGAUGAGUGAGUGAUGGUAUCUUACCAGAAAGUCACGGCUAACUACGUGCCAGCCGCCGCGGUAAAAC
rnacentral:rRNA from 1 species